AGCCUGGGCUUCAGAAAGGCCGUCUACAAACACACCCGCUGUUGUUAAGAUGUUUGGAAUCUGACUAUUCCAUCUCAAGCCCCGUUUCCAGAAGGCUCUUAGGGAUGUCAAGCCAUUCCUUCUGGAUGGAAUUGUGCGCGGGGCUCACACAUGUGGCGGGACUGGCACUCGGGGCUGCUGGUCAUCACCCGGAAAUGAAGGCAAACACUCGUUAAUGCUUAAACCAGCAUUGAUGGGUAGCAGUUUGCUUUGCAGGGGGCCUGUCCAGAGAGCAGGGCGGCACCAUCAGUUCUGUACCGCCGCUAGUGGAAACAGAAUCUCUUCACUCUGCCCAGUCAACAACCCCCGAAUCUCUGCAGAGCAAGUGGGACUUACACUGCAAAAUGCCAGGGUGCCCAACUCAACAGCCUGUUGCCUGAGCAACGGGGCAUCGGCAGCGGGCAUCUCACACCUUGCGAUCUCAGCUCUUUAACAAUGCCGACCUUCAAAACCUGAACAAAGAACUGUCCAGCGAGUCCACUAGGUAUCCACCCCAGAGAACUGAAAGCAAGGACUCAGAUGCACAGAAACGAUCACAAAAGGUGGAUGGCCCCAUGCACAAGUCAUUCCAAAGCAUGCUGGGGUGUGGUGGCCAAGGGCCACGAAGCCAUAAACAAGUCAGAAGGGUGUGCAGGCCUGGCCUGGCCAUCAAAGCCGAGGUGGGCUCCAGAAUGACAGGUUUAUGAAGAAACAAGAAAAGUUUCGCAAAUAACCAAUGUUCCUUUACGGAAACAUCCAGGUCUCUGGCUUUCUGGAAAAACACACUGUGGAAAACUUGACACCUUGCUUCAUUAAGAGGCAAACAGGCAGGAAUCAGAGGAGUCAGGGGUUGGGACGCGGCAGGCCCUCUCUGUGGGGUUUGAGUUAGGUAGGUCUCUUCAAUUAAGUAUCUCUUGAAUGAUGACAGGACUCAGUGGGUAAAGACCAUCCCCUCCAAGACUGGCGGCUUAAGUGUGAUUCCCUAGGACCCAUCUGGUGGAAGAAAAGAACCAGCUCCCUCCCACAGGUUGUCCUCUGACCUCCACAUGAUACACCUAUACACACAUAUACUAAUAAGCAAGCUUUUUUUUGUUUUUAAGUAGGUCUCUCCUUUCAGUUCUGAGGGAUGCAGAGCUACAGCUUGUUUCCACACAGCACCUCAGGGCAAGUGCUGGUAGGUGCAUUUGUUUAGAAGUCCACAUAGCAAUGAAAAAAAAAAAAAACAAAAACAAAAACAAAAAAAGAUGCCCACGCAGGGACCAAGACACCCAGCACUGUCCCGUGAAGGCCCAGGUGAAGUCUCAAGUAGACAGGUAUCAGGCAGGCAGAUACACCAGGAAGGGGACCAGCCCCAGGAGAAGGGACCUCCCAUGCUUCGAGCCAGGAACCUGGACGGGUUUAGCUUGUUUUCAGCAAGAAUUAUGCUUUAGGGAACCAUGUUUGCCAAGCUGAAAGCUGUGACUUUCCUCAGUCCCAGAAGCCCCUGGGGCUCCACAGAAUUUCUAAAUUCCCAGUGUCACCAAAUAAACAUCCUAUGGGUGUCAACCUUAA